rnacentral:piRNA from 1 species
AAAAUGCAAAUCCAAAUGGAACAAUA